rnacentral:rRNA from 1 species
GAGUAACGCGUGGGUAACCUGCCUCAUACAGGGGGAUAACAGUUAGGAAUGACUGCUAAUACCGCAUAAGCGCACAGUGCUGCAUGGCACAGUGUGAAAAACUCCGGUGGUAUGAGAUGGACCCGCGUCUGAUUAGCUAGUUGGUGGGGUAACGGCCUACCAAGGCGACGAUCAGUAGCCGGCCUGAGAGGGUGAACGGCCACAUUGGGACUGAGACACGGCCCAAACUCCUACGGGAGGCAGCAUG